AUUGAACGCUGGCCGCAGGCCUAACACAUGCAAGUCGAAUGGUAACAGGAAACAGCUUGCUGUUUCGCUGACGAGUGGCGGACGGGUGAGUAAUGUCUGGGCAACUGCCUGAUGGAGGGGGAUAACUACUGGAAACGGUAGCUAAUACCGCAUAACGUCGCAAGACCAAAGAGGGGGACCUUCGGGCCUCUUGCCAUCAGAUGUGCCCAGAUGGGAUUAGCUAGUAGGUGGGGUAACGGCUCACCUAGGCGACGAUCCCUAGCUGGUCUGAGAGGAUGACCAGCCACACUGGAACUGAGACACGGUCCAGACUCCUACGGGAGGCAGCAGUGGGGAAUAUUGCACAAUGGGCGCAAGCCUGAUGCAGCCAUGCCGCGUGUAUGAAGAAGGCCUUCGGGUUGUAAAGUACUUUCAGCGGGGAGGAAGGGAGUAAAGUUAAUACCUUUGCUCAUUGACGUUACCCGCAGAAGAAGCACCGGCUAACUCCGUG
rnacentral:rRNA from 1 species